AACGAACGCUGGCGGCAUGCCUAACACAUGCAAGUCGAACGAGACCUUCGGGUCUAGUGGCGCACGGGUGCGUAACGCGUGGGAACCUGCCCUUAGGUUCGGAAUAACUCCCCGAAAGGGGUGCUAAUACCGGCUAAUGUCUUCGGACCAAAGUUUUAUCGCCUUUGGAUGGGCCUGCGUUGGAUUAGCUGGUUGGUAGGGUAAAAGCCUACCAAGGCGACGAUCCAUAGCUGGUUUGAGAGGAUGAGCAGCCACACUGGGACUGAGACACGGCCCAGACUCCUACGGGAGGCAGCAGUGGGGAAUAUUGGACAAUGGGCGAAAGCCUGAUCCAGCAAUGCCGCGUGAGUGAUGAAGGCCUUAGGGUUGUAAAGCUCUUUUACCCGGGAUGAUAAUGACAGUACCGGGAGAAUAAGCUCCGGCUAACUCCGUG
rnacentral:rRNA from 1 species